GUGGGGAUCAUUGGCAAGGCACUGCUGAUGUUUUCUUAAAACCCUGGAGCCUGGUAGAUAUCUAAGGGAACAGCCUGCACACCUGCACACUGCUCUCCAUCCCAAACAAAUGGAGAAAGUUCCUACCUAAUUCAGUGGGCCAAGAGUAGGCCCUGGGAGGCCUCGUGGCCUUUAUGCCCAUCCUUGUCCUCUUAGUAACUUCUGAGCGGUUUUGUGCCCAGAGAUGGAAAGAUUUUUGUGUUCACUGAGUCCUAACUUGAUUUGUAUAAGUGUCUGUUGAUUGAAUAUUUCUCUUUAGCAUUAUGUGGAGGAAAACUGCCGGAGGCAAAUACAGUACUUAGAGGUGCAGCUUUACAGGAAACCUGUGGCCAGGCAGCCAGGCACAGACCUGAGACAGCGUCCUCCCUAACAACCUUUUCCAGCUUCUCUUUCCCCAAGCUGCCUCGAGUUUGCUGCAAGUUGCCCUUGUUUGUGGAAUCGGAAUCACUGAUGAAGAUAAAUAUUGGAAAGAGAAGCUGUGAGAGAUGCAAAGGUAGCAUUUGGCCAAUCCUCAGAGAACCUCCACCUUCCCUCUGACCUUCGGGAGAUAUUGACGGUUUCAUAAUGGACAUGCAGGAAUAUGGGAUCAAAGGGAAUAUAAAAGGGUUGUAGUGAUGGGUACCAUCGGCAUGCCAGGAGACAGGAACAAGUCUCCAAAUCCCUGGCUGCGAAGUUUACAUGCAGAAAGCCUCUCCUUCCCCUCCUGCUCAGCGGAGCUUACUUGUAGCUGUCGGCCAGCCCACAGGAUACCUUGUAGCCCCCGAGCUGGGAGCCUGCUUGCUUUCCAGCCACUGCCUGCCCUCCAGCAUGCCUGCCGCGGUGCCCCAGCAGCCUUUACUCCCACCUGUCCCACCAGGAGCACGGCUCCGCGCCGCCGCCGCAUGGCUGCAGGUGGGUUUGAAUCCCUUUGGGCUCAGGCUGCAGUACCUGCCAUGCCUGGAGGGGUGGCUCUGAAGGAAGACUCCCAGCACGUGAGUUUCCAAGCCAGUGAGACUGUUCGCUCCCUCCAGACAUGAGCAGGGGUGUAGACAUUCAAAGCAGCAAGGUAAACAGCUUAAGGGUUUGGGGAGCGGGUUUGGAGCAUGAGCCUGACCCCUGAGCUAACACAGCAGCAGCGAUGUCCCCGAGGACCCUUCUAGGACCAGAUGUCCAUCUGUGGAAAUCAGCUUUAUACUGAUUUUCAAACAUCUGCAGCCUGCCUGGUUAAUCACAAGUGGAUGUAUUUUAUGCUUUUCAGGCUACCUGUUGUUACAGUUUCUUUAUUUGGCUGUAUCAAUACACAGAUUAAUAUAGAACAAACACAUCUCUUUGUGGACAAUCUACCCAAAGGUAGAAAGGUUACAUUAUCUGAACCCCUGCAAUGAAUAAUUCAUCCAUCUAUAACUAUAUCUGCAUUUAAAUACAGUUACCACUCUUACCGCUGCCUUCUGUCAGCAUUAUGCUAUUAAAAAUAGCAACAACAUAGAGUAGCUUGAGCCAACUUUAUAUUUAUCUGUUCAUGGUUGUUAAGAGAUAUUUAUUGAACAGUUUCUGAUGGUCAACAGCCACUGUAAAUACCUGUCUCCUUCAUUAACAAUCCCUAAAGAUCACUGGUUGAUUUGGCCUGAAUGAUGAAUGAAGCUUACUUUCUGCUGGGUGCUGGUGUGUGAUACAGUGCAUUGCUGCCACGGUUAAGACAAUGUGUGUACAGCUGUGACAGCUCUGUGCAGCGAAUGGGCAACCUGCACACGUGUAUUGAUGCACAGAGCUGUCUUCAUGUUAAAAUGCAAUGUACACCAUGUUAAAAUGUAAUGUAUGCCAACACCACUGGUCACUGUGAAGCCAAAGCCUGCUGUGAAAGCUGGUGCUGGGUAGAACAAGGACUGUUUAUUAGCAGCACUGUGCUUUUAUAGAAAGACCAUUCAGGAAAAGUACUUUUUGUUGGUAUUUACAGAAAACCUGUGAAACAGCAGGACUGCCAGUUUAUUGUGCAUGAAUUUAACAGCUCCUUUACCUGAGCUGUCUGAGUGUUGGCGAGUCUUACCAGGUGCUGUUAGGAAAAAAGUAGUGGGUAUUGCAAAGUGAGAUACCUUGAAAACCACUGGAUAUGCAGGAUAAGAUCUUCUCAGGAUUCCUCUUAGGAUAUGAGGGGCUGUACAGACAGAGCAGUGUGUCCUUCUUCUUAAGUACAUCCCACAGUGUUCCCCAAGAGCAAGGAGGUCAGGUGAGGUCUGUAACUUACUUACACUUUCAGCUUACUGUGCUCCAUGAUUAAAUCAUUUAACUUCCUCACAUUUCUGUUAUGCUACUUAAAAGAAAUACAUGCUUACCAGAAACGUGCCAGAGCUUAGCUACUAUGCACAUUCAAUUACAUGGUGAUGAGUACAAUAUAUAAAUUUACAGCUGAUACGCAUACGGAUUUAAGUUAACUGCAAACCUAUUUUUGGAACAGUGCAUGGUAAACCCUGUUCCAGAAGUUGCUCCAGGUCUCUCCCAGGUAGCUAACUUCUUCAUACCUUGCUAGAAAGCAGCGUCAUGGAAUUGAAUAGGACUGCUCUGCAAAGUGUGAUGUUAGUCAUUGUAGCAAAGGUUGGCAGAAAUUAGUUUCAAAUGCCUUCUGCUAGUAGAAUUAUUAGUAGUAGAAAAGUUAUCAGUAUUUCUACAUUUAUUAGAAAUAAAACUAAAACACUUGACA
rnacentral:lncRNA from 1 species